rnacentral:rRNA from 1 species
UCCAGACUCCUACGGGAGGCAGCAGUGGGGAAUAUUGCACAAUGGGGGAAACCCUGAUGCAGCAACGCCGCGUGAGUGAAGAAGUCAUUCGUGAUGUAAAGCUCUAUCAGCAGGGAAGAAAAUGACGGUACCUGAGUAAGAAGCCCCGGCUAACUACGUGCCAGCAGCCGCGGUAAUACGUAGGGAGCAAGCGUUGUCCGGAAUUACUGGGCGUAAAGGGCGCGUAGGUGGGCGCUUAAGUCAGGUGUGAAAACUCCGGGCUCAACCUGGAGACUGCACUUGAAACUGGGUGUCUUGAGGGCAGGAGAGGAAAGUGGAAUUCCUAGUGUAGCGGUGAAAUGCGUAGAUAUUAGGAGGAGCACCAGUGGCGAAGGCGGUCUGCUGGACAGCAACUGACGCUGAGGCGCGAAAGCGUGGGGAGCAAACAGGAUUAGAUACCCGUGUAC